rnacentral:rRNA from 1 species
UACGAAGGGGGCUAGCGUUGCUCGGAAUCACUGGGCGUAAAGGGUGCGUAGGCGGGUCUUUAAGUCAGGGGUGAAAUCCUGGAGCUCAACUCCAGGACUGCCUUUGAUACUGAGGAUCUUGAGUUCGGGAGAGGUGAGUGGAACUGCGAGUGUAGAGGUGAAAUUCGUAGAUAUUCGCAAGAACACCAGUGGCGAAGGCGGUUGCCUGGGGCUUUGCUGACGCUGAUGCGCGAAAGCGUGGGGAGCGAUCCGG